rnacentral:lncRNA from 1 species
UCUUCUCCUUCUUCUUCUCCUCCUCCUCCUUCUCCUUCUCCUUCUCCUCCUCCUCCUCCUUCUUCUUCUUCUUCUUCUUUUUCUUCUCCUUCUAUUCUUCUUUCUUCUUCUCUUUCUUCUUCUACAUAGCUUAUUUUCCCCCAACAAAUACAUACUUAGCUAAUUAUCCUCCAAAAUGACAUAAUUAGCUUAGUUAAGUAAAAACAUCAUAAGAACCUUG